rnacentral:rRNA from 1 species
RGRKRRMACCCUUAGAGUUUGAUCCUGGCUCAGAACGAACGCUGGCGGCGUGCUUAACACAUGCAAGUCGAACGUGAUUCASAGCUUGCUCUGAUGAAAGUGGCGCACGGGUGAGUAACGCGUGGAUAACCUGCCCUGGUAUCUGGGAUAACAUCUCGAAAGGGGUGCUAAUACCGGAUAAGCCCACGGGAUCUUCGGAUUCUGCGGGAAAAGAAGGCCUCUAUUUAUAAGCUUUCGUAUCAUGAUGGGUCCGCGUACCAUUARCUAGUUGGUGGGGUAAUGGCCUACCMAGGCGACGAUGGUUAGCUGGUCUGARAGGAUGAUCAGCCACACUGGAACUGARACACGGUCCASACUCCUACGGGAGGCAGCAKUGGGGAAUUUUGCGCAAUGGGGGAAACCCUGACGCASCAACUCCGCGUGAGUGAUGAASGCUUUCGGGUCKUAAAGCUCUGUCAGAGGGGAAGAAAUGGGUCGUGCUAAUAUC